AUUCUACGUAAUCGAUUCGCGCAGUUGCGACGCGAUGACACGAUGGUUCGAACUGUUAUUUCAACGUUCGGAAUUUCGACUGAAAUUUCUGGUAACACAUAACAGGAAUCACCUUACGCACGGGUUGUUGAAAAAUUGGUUGGAUGACACCAGAGAAAAUGUCAGGAUAAGCUGUAACCGUUGCCUCACCUUUUACCGGCUUACCGGGCCGGGCGGCAAUUUAGUGGAAUUAAAUAAUAGUCCGUCCCAUUAACGUAACGACUCGACUGAGGAUGUCCCGCAGGAUCCACAAGAGGAUAUCGAAAGUGGAUGGAGGCAUGCCAGUAUUUUCAGAUGCCUCAGCCGUGACUGGAGGGAAUCCCCGCGACAAACGUGCUUCCUCCUCAACGAUCGUUAAGGGAAACCUAUGCGUGUUGUUGCGAAUCAACAUAUCCCGGCAUCUCGUGCCCGGGAUUGCAUAUUUUUCGGAUUCACGGGGCAAAGUGUUCGCGUAUCCGCGAAUCGCAAACAGCAGUUGUAAUAACAGUAAUAGCAGAACUCCUGCGAACUAAAAACCUAGAUACGUUCAAGAGAAAAUGCAUCUCGAUUUAUAUUCGAUGCUCCACGCCGCUAUGCUCGCUAGCUUCAUAUUUAAAAUUGAUCUUUAACUGUUGGAGAACUCUUGCGCGUUUACAUUUCUCAUGAACGCAUAAACACCCGCAGCCUACUCACGACACGCGCAUACCAAGUUCCAAUGCCUAUUUUCAAUCAAAAUGAAAAUUUCCUAAUAUUUUCCCGGCUCUUCGUAUAUAACAGCUAAGAUUAAUUUUCAAGUUUCUUCGGAACGAACCUCCGUAGGGAGUCCACGUCUCCGCAUCGGCCCUCGAAGCAAAAAUGAGGGGUCCACUGGCUUACCCGAUGCUAAAUAUUCAGCGGUGUCAUCCACUUAUGCAAACAGAAGCGGGCGGCAAAAGACGAUCGGAUUCGUACGUCGAUCCCGGCGAAGCCGCGAUCCAUCAAAAUCCCACGCUUUCACGAGUUCCCAAAUAGGAGUUCCGUGUCGUCCGAAGCAACGUUCCAGGAGCAGACUUUAAGAGCCGCAAAUUAGUACGUCCGUCCAUUGGACAACUCGAGCGAACCGCGGCCAAGAUUUUCUCGAAAACGUGGACCUGUAAUUUUCUCACGUCGGAACCGUGACGCGUCUUAAUUUUCACUUGGCUAGGAGCGACUAGGCGAAGCCUGGAGGCUGGAAUCCGAGUCGAAAAUUGUGCUAAUCCCUUUAAAGUGACCCGUGUUCCGAAUGAUCGGCCGCUCAGGCAUAAGUAACACAACAGGUAGGUAGAAGCAGAGGGCCACCGGGAUACCAGCGAGGAAGGGAAGGAGAAAGACAGAGGUUGGAAGAACAAAAGCAACGCCCAAGCUCCACAGGUGCUCUCGUGAGUGGCUUUCCGUUCGUUUGGAUAACUGCGGACGAGUCGCCAAGGCGUUAAAGCAAACAGCGACCGAGAUGAACUUUCUAACGCUGACGCCGGCGCGGCGGUUGGCCCCCUUCCUUUGAAGGUAGCAAGCUAACCUCCCCGAAGGUCUCUAACCUUUUAAAUUACCUGUGCAUUUCCUAGUGCAAAACUCUGUUCCCUAGAAGGUACGCUGUUCCUUUCGAGGGAAGGACACUUCGUGGAAUCCUUCCCGACACUAUUUUUUUUUUUUUUUCUUUCGACGUUCUCCGAAUCUAGCUCUCGACUGUUUUGGAGCACCCUUCUACCUCUGAAAUGAAUGAACCUCUCUCGGACGUUAAUGAAUGUUACACGGCGGAAGUGUGAAUUGGGAAUCGGUGGAAAGUGAGUGGAGACGAAUAUUAUAUCGUAUUUGGGUUUAGGUGUCUCAUCGCGGUGAAUUCUUGAUGAUUCCUGCUCCAACAUUUUCAAACGUAUGAAAAUUUAUUGCACCUAAUAUUUAUGAAAAUUUGCCUUCGGCUAGUAUUUAUGACGAUUUGCUCGAACUAGUAUUUAUGAUACAAUUUCUCCAAUUAAUAUUCGUAAAAAUUUGCUCUAACCAGUAUUUAUGAAAAUU